GUGCUGUAUGAAAGGAGAGAAGGUUAGCACUCCCCUUCAGAAGGAUGGAAGAGGUCCUAGUGGUCUAUACACCUCCCCCUUCUAGACUGUGAGCCCACUGUUGGGUAGGGACCGUCUCUAUAUGUUG